rnacentral:rRNA from 1 species
UACGUAGGGCGCAAGCGUUGUCCGGAAUUAUUGGGCGUAAAGAGCUCGUAGGCGGCCAGUUGCGUCUGCUGUGAAAUCCCGGGGCUCAACCCCGGGCGUGCAGUGGAUACGGGCUGGCUAGAGGCAGGCAGGGGAGAACGGAAUUCCCGGUGUAGCGGUGAAAUGCGCAGAUAUCAGGAGGAACACCGAUGGCGAAGGCAGCUCGCUGGGACGUGACUGACGCUGAGACGCGAAAGCGUGGGGAGCAAACAGG